rnacentral:rRNA from 1 species
GAUGAACGCUGGCGGCGUGCCUAAUACAUGCAAGUCGAACGAAGAUCUAGCUUGCUAGAUCUUAGUGGCGAACGGGUGAGUAAUACAUAAAUAAUCUGCCCAUAUGACUGGGAUAACUAUUGGAAACGAUAGCUAAUACCGGAUAGGUUGAUUGGAGGCAUCUCUGAUUAAUUAAAGUAGGAUUUCUACACAAAUGGAUGAGUUUAUGGCGCAUUAGUUAGUUGGUGGGGUAACGGCCUACCAAGACGAUGAUGCGUAGCCGACCUGAGAGGGUGACCGGCCACACUGGGACUGAGACACGGCCCAGACUCCUACGGGAGGCAGCAGUAGGGAAUUUUCGGCAAUGGGCGCAAGCCUGACCGAGCAACGCCGCGUGAGUGAUUAAGGCCUUCGGGUUGUAAAGCUCUGUUGUAAGGGAAGAACAUUCAGGAUAGGAAAUGAUCUUGAACUGACGGUACCUUACCAGAAAGCCACGGCUAACUACGUGCCAGCCGCCGCAGUAA